GAGGCAUCAAACUACGUCAUUUUUGUCUAAAAAAAAUAGUAAACCUAUAUCAUUUGCAAACCUCGAUCUUCAGUUCUUCUCAAAAGUUGCCGAGCUCUUCCCCUGUCACGAAAUAUGAAGACCUAUAUCAUUUACAAACCUCUUCAGUUCUUCUCAAACAUUCUUUGGGCUUGAUUUUCACCAAAUUCAAUAGCUCGUUCAAAGCGUCUUCAAUCUUUACCGAAUCAGAAGACGAUGAUCCUGAGAUUUAAUCACUCAACAUUCUGCUAUUUCUUCUACUUGCCAAGAGGGAUGAGGAUGGUGAAAGGGAUGAGGAUCCUGCCAUUCGCUUGUACAAGGACACACAUUUUAAGGAAUAAGGUGGAUGGGCAUACGAGAAAGCUAAGAGGAAUUUUGAUGCAAUGAAAGAAAAGGUUGCACAAAAUUCUCAAAAUUCUGAUGGUAAGAGUCCAAUCAUAAAUGAUGUUGAGAUAGUGCAAAACUAACUAGGCAUAAGGAAAGGAUAUUGCCGUGGAUUCGGACAUGGUUUCAUGGCUCUAAAGCAUCAACGUGCCUCCUCAUCAUGUGACGAGGCUUCUAGGACAGAAUGAAUAAUGGAUCGUGAAGAGGAUGGAACAAUUUUUUGUGCUACCCGAUGGUUUUAGUUAUUGUUUAGAAAACUGGAGGUUUUAUGGAUCUUGACUAUAUAUAUUGUGGAUUUAUUCUGAUUUAUGGCUAGUAAUAUCUUUUUUAAUGUAA